rnacentral:rRNA from 1 species
AACGAACGCUGGCGGCAUGCCUAACACAUGCCAGUCGAACGAGACCUUCGGGUCUAGUGGCGCACGGGUGGGUAACGCGUGGGAACCUGCCCUUAGGUUCGGAAUAACUCCCCGAAAGGGGUGCUAAUACCGGAUAAUGUCUUCGGACCAAAGAUUUAUCGCCUUUGGAUGGGCCCGCGUUGGAUUAGCUAGUUGGUAGGGUAGAAGCCUACCAAGGCGAGGAUCGAUAGCUGGUCUGAUAGGAUGAUAGGCGACACUGGGACUGAGACACGGCACAGACUCCUACGAGAGGCAGCAGGGGGGAAGAUUGCACAAGGGGCGGAAGCCAGAGGCAGCAACGCCGUGCGCGGGAUGACGGCCUUCGGGUUGUAAACCGCUUUCGCCUGUGACGAAGCGUGAGUGACGGUAAUGGGUAAAGAAGCACCGGCUAACUACGUG